rnacentral:rRNA from 1 species
AGAGUUUGAUCCUGGCUCAGGAUGAACGCUAGCUACAGGCUUAACACAUGCAAGUCGAGGGGCAGCAUGGUCUUAGCUUGCUAAGGCCGAUGGCGACCGGCGCACGGGUGAGUAACACGUAUCCAACCUGCCGUCUACUCUUGGACAGCCUUCUGAAAGGAAGAUUAAUACAAGAUGGCAUCAUGAGUUCGCAUGUUCACAUGAUUAAAGGUAUUCCGGUAGACGAUGGGGAUGCGUUCCAUUAGAUAGUAGGCGGGGUAACGGCCCACCUAGUCUUCGAUGGAUAGGGGUUCUGAGAGGAAGGUCCCCCACAUUGGAACUGAGACACGGUCCAAACUCCUACGGGAGGCAGCAGUGAGGAAUAUUGGUCAAUGGGCGCAGGCCUGAACCAGCCAAGUAGCGUGAAGGAUGACUGCCCUAUGGGUUGUAAACUUCUUUUAUAAAGGAAUAAAGUCGGGUAUGUAUACCCGUUUGCAUGUACUUUAUGAAUAAGGAUCGGCUAACUCCGUGCCAGCAGCCGCGGUAAUACGGAGGAUCCGAGCGUUAUCCGGAUUUAUUGGGUUUAAAGGGAGCGUAGAUGGAUGUUUAAGUCAGUUGUGAAAGUUUGCGGCUCAACCGUAAAAUUGCAGUUGAUACUGGAUAUCUUGAGUGCAGUUGAGGCAGGCGGAAUUCGUGGUGUAGCGGUGAAAUGCUUAGAUAUCACGAAGAACUCCGAUUGCGAAGGCAGCCUGCUAAGCUGCAACUGACAUUGAGGCUCGAAAGUGUGGGUAUCAAACAGGAUUAGAUACCCUGGUAGUCCACACGGUAAACGAUGAAUACUCGCUGUUUGCGAUAUACGGCAAGCGGCCAAGCGAAAGCGUUAAGUAUUCCACCUGGGGAGUACGCCGGCAACGGUGAAACUCAAAGGAAUUGACGGGGGCCCGCACAAGCGGAGGAACAUGUGGUUUAAUUCGAUGAUACGCGAGGAACCUUACCCGGGCUUAAAU